GUCGUUGCACAGCCCCUUUAAGGCAAUGGACUAGAAAUCCAUUGGGGUCUCCCCGCACAGGUUCGAAUCCUGUCGAC
rnacentral:tRNA from 1 species